rnacentral:rRNA from 1 species
CUACGGGAUGCAGCAGUGGGGAAUAUUGCACAAUGAGCGAAAGCUUGAUGCAGCCAUACCGCGUGUGUGAAGAAGGCCCGAGGGUUGUAAAGCACUUUCAAUUGUGAGGAAGGUUCAGUAGUUAAUACCUGCUGUUCUUGACGUUAACUUUAGAAGAAGCACCGGCUAACUCUGUGCCAGCAGCCGCGGUAAUACAGAGGGUCAAGCGGUAUUCGGAAUUACUGGGCGUAACGCGCGCGUAGGAGGAUUGUUAAGUCAGUUGUGAAAGCCCUGGGCUCAACCUGGGAACUGCAUCUGAUACUGGCAAUCGAGAGUUUAAGAGAGGGAAGUGGAAUUCCAGGUGUAGCAGUGAAAUGCGUAGAUAUCUGGAGGAACAUCAGUGGCGAAGGCGACUUCCUGGCUUAAAACUGACGCUGAGGUGCGAAAGCGUGGGUAGCGAACGGGAUUAGAUACCCCGGUAGUC